CCUACGGGGGGCAGCAGUCGAGAAUUUUUCUCAAUGGGGGAAACCCUGAAGGAGCGACGCCGCGUGGGGGAUGAAGGACUUCGGUUCGUAAACCCCUGUCACCUGGGAACUAGUACCAGGAGAGGAAGGCACGGCUAACUCUGUGCCAGCAGCCGCGGUAAUACAGAGGUGCCAAGCGUUGUUCGGAUUUAUUGGGCGUAAAGGGUGCGUAGGCGGUGAUGCAAGUCGGGUGUGAAAUACCGGAGCCUAACUCCGGAACGGCAUUCGAAACUGCAUCGCUAGAGAUCUGGAGAGGUGAGUGGAAUUCUCGGUGUAGCAGUGAAAUGCGUAGAUAUCGAGAGGAACACCAGAGGCGAAAGCGACUCACUGGACAGAUCUGACGCUGAGGCACGAAAGCUAGGGGAGCAAACGGGAUUAGAUACCCUUGUAGUC
rnacentral:rRNA from 1 species